UUGGCAUAUAUCACAUUCUGAGAAGCAAACUCUUCCUGAAGGCUGUGAAUCAGAGAUUGACAGGAGGUUACUAAUCCUUUGCAGGUCCCUUCCGAACCCAUCUGUCAGAGUUUGCCUAGGAAGAACGCCACCCACCCUGCUGUUUGAAUGCGAGGCUGCCGGAGGAUUGAUUCCUAUCUGAGCUGGAUCAGACGCCUCCUCCGACAGGGACUGCUGCCGACAGAGUUCAGGUCUGAGUGUGUCAGCAAUUGCCGAAGGACACCAACAUCGAUUCCCAACUGAACUGGGUCCGCAUGACUAUAUAACUGAUAUAAUAAAG